GAUGAACGCUGGCGGCGUGCCUAAUACAUGCAAGUCGAGCGAAGGGAUUAAGAGCUUGCUCUUAUGAAGUUAGCGGCGGACGGGUGAGUAACACGUGGGUAACCUGCCCAUAAGACUGGGAUAACUCCGGGAAACCGGGGCUAAUACCGGAUAACAUUUUGAACCGCAUGGUUCGAAAUUGAAAGGCGGCUUCGGCUGUCACUUCUGGAUGGACCCGCGUCGCAUUAGCUAGUUGGUGAGGUAACGGCUCACCAAGGCAACGAUGCGUAGCCGACCUGAGAGGGUGAUCGGCGACACUGGGACUGAGACACGGCCCAGACGACCACGGGAGGCAGCAGUAGGGAAGCGUCCGCAAUGGACGAAAGUCUGACGGAGCAACGCCGCGUGAGUGAUGAAGGCUUUCGGGUCGUAAAACUCUGUUGUUAGGGAAGAACAAGUGCUAGUUGAAUAAGCUGGCACCUUGACGGUACCUAACCAGAAAGCCACGGCUAACUACGUGCCAGCCGCCGCCGUAA
rnacentral:rRNA from 1 species